UAAGACUUGUGAAACACUAAUACACAUCUUCUGAAUGCAACUCAAACACUUUAAUUAAGCUAAAGCCUCC
rnacentral:tRNA from 3 species